rnacentral:rRNA from 1 species
CUUUACUAUAGCCUGGAAUUGUGUUCGGGCUUCGCUUACGCAGGAUAGGUGGGAGGCUGUGAAGUUCUGCUUGUGGGCAGAAUCGAGCCAACGGUGAGAUACCACUUUAGCGAGGCUAGAAUUCUAACCCUUGCCCGUCAUCCGGGAAGGAGACAGUUUCAGGGGGGUAGUUUGACUGGGGCGGUCGCCUCCUAAAAGGUAACGGAGGCGCGCAAAGGUUCUCUCAGGCUGGUUGGAAAUCAGCCGUAGAGUGUAAAGGCAGAAGGGAGCUUGACUGCAAGACCUACAAGUCGAGCAGGGUGGAAACACGGUCUUAGUGAUCCGACGGUGCCGCAUGGAAGGGCCGUCGCUCAACGGAUAAAAGUUA